UGUGUGAGUCUACUUGGUAGUCUCUGAUUGGGAAGAACUUCUGGGAUCAUCGCAUCCCAUCCCCAGAGUCUGAGGAUGAGGCCCAGGGAGGGAGAGCAAGGAGUCGAGGUGGGAUAAGAAGGCACCUUGUCCUACCAUCUUUCCACAUCCAAGACCUUCCCCGAAGCACUAAGGGGCCCCCGGGGACAUCGAUCGAUUUCUGCCUCUUUUCAGAUGUAUCUGGCAAACACAUGUGGUCUCCCUCUUUCUCACUGCCUCUCCGAUCCCUUCUUCUAUUAUCUCACAGACUCUCCAAAUGGAAGGUGGCAUGGACCAGUCCAAUCCUUGACCAACGUAUAAAAUGCCUUUUCCAGUGUUCCUGAAAGGCAACGGCAGGACCACUUCUUAGAAGCCAACAUAGGAUCUCAGGGCUCUGAGGUAGGAGGGGAUGGUGGGGAGGCAAAGGAACAUCAUGAUGUAUUUCUAAUUUUCAACAUCUGAAUGAUUUAGAUCAAAAGGUAAAGAAAGCACGAUAUAAAUGAAAGGUACCAGAUCUUAACUUUGCCCUCCAUACUCCGUAUCUAACUUGCAACCGUCUUUUUCUUUUCUUUAGACCUUAGUUUCCCCCCCUUUAAAAUGAGAGAUGAGCUCAAUGAAUAUUCUAGAAUGUCCAGCAACCUGCUAAGUGGCC
rnacentral:lncRNA from 1 species